rnacentral:rRNA from 1 species
GACGAACGCUGGCGGCGUGCCUAAUACAUGCAAGUUGAGCGCUGAAGGUUGGUACUUGUACCAACUGGAUGAGCAGCGAACGGGUGAGUAACGCGUGGGGAAUCUGCCUUUGAGCGGGGGACAACAUUUGGAAACGAAUGCUAAUACCGCAUAAAAACUUUAAACACAAGUUUUAAGUUUGAAAGAUGCAAUUGCAUCACUCAAAGAUGAUCCCGCGUUGUAUUAGCUAGUUGGUGAGGUAAAGGCUCACCAAGGCGAUGAUACAUAGCCGACCUGAGAGGGGGAUCGGCCACAAUGGGACUGGGACACGGCCCAAACUCCUACGGGAGGCAGCAGUAGGGAAUCUUCGGCAAUGGACGAAAGGCUGACCGAGCAACGCCGCGUGAGGGAAGAAGGGUUUCGGAUCGUAAAACUCUGUUGGUAGAGAAGAACGUUGGUGGGAGUGGAAAGCUCAUCAAGUGACGGUAACUACCCAGAAAGGGACGGCUAACUACGUG